GGGCGUAGAGGGCUCGCAGGCGGUUUCUUAAGUCUGAUGUGAAAGCCCCCGGCUCAACCGGGGAGGGUCAUUGGAAACUGGGAAACUUGAGUGCAGAAGAGGAGAGUGGAAUUCCACGUGUAGCGGUGAAAUGCGUAGAGAUGUGGAGGAACACCAGUGGCGAAGGCGACUCUCUGGUCUGUAACUGACGCUGAGGAGCGAAAGCGUGGGGAGCGAACAGGAUUAGAUACCCUGGUAGUCCACGCCGUAAACGAUGAGUGCUAAGUGUUAGGGGGUUUCCGCCCCUUAGUGCUGCAGCUAACGCAUUAAGCACUCCGCCUGGGGAGUACGGUCGCAAGACUGAAACUCAAAGGAAUUGACGGGGGCCCGCACAAGCGGUGGAGCAUGUGGUUUAAUUCGAAGCAACGCGAAGAACCUUACCAGGUCUUGACAUCCUCUGACAACCCUAGAGAUAGGGCUUUCCCUUCGGGGACAGAGUGACAGGUGGUGCAUGGUUGUCGUCAGCUCGUGUCGUGAGAUGUUGGGUUAAGUCCCGCAACGAGCGCAACCCUUGAUCUUAGUUGCCAGCAUUCAGUUGGGCACUCUAAGGUGACUGCCGGUGACAAACCGGGAGGAAGGUGGGGAUGACGUCAAAUCAUCAUGCCCCUUAUGACCUGGGCUACACACGUGCUACAAUGGACAGAACAAAGGGCUGCAAGACCGCAGGGUUAGCCAAUCCCAUAAAUCUGUUCUCAGUUCGGAUCGCAGUCUGCAACUCGACUGCG
rnacentral:rRNA from 1 species